rnacentral:rRNA from 1 species
AUUGAACGCUGGCGGCAUGCUUUACACAUGCAAGUCGAACGGCAGCGGGGUAGUGCUUGCACUACUGCCGGCGAGUGGCGAACGGGUGAGUAAUAUAUCGGAACGUACCGAGUAAUGGGGGAUAACCAAUCGAAAGAUUGGCUAAUACCGCAUACGUCCUGAGGGAGAAAGCGGGGGAUCGCAAGACCUCGCGUUAUUCGAGCGGCCGAUAACUGAUUAGCUAGUUGGUGGGGUAAGGGCCUACCAAGGCGACGAUCAGUAGCGGGUCUGAGAGGACGAUCCGCCACACUGGGACUGAGACACGGCCCAGACUCCUACGGGAGGCAGCAGUGGGGAAUUUUGGACAAUGGGGGCAACCCUGAUCCAGCCAUGCCGCGUGUAUGAAGAAGGCCUUCGGGUUGUAAAGUACUUUUGUUAGGGAAGAAAAGGGAAGUGCUAAUACCACUUUUUGCUGACGGUACCUAAAGAAUAAGCACCGGCUAACUACGUG